CCAAGGCUCCACCACGUGCUCGCCCGCCCGGUCCCUGCUCCGUGCGCGUCCCUUGGGUGUGGGAAAGGCGACCAGCCUCGCGCAGCCCGGAUUUGUCCUCUCCCAGGUGGAGGCACGGCGUCCGGACGGCUCCGGGUCCUGGGCACGCUGGGGGCUCCCGCCCGCCCAGUAGUAGUCCGGUGACAGGGACAUCGCCUACUUAGGAAGUAAAUGCGAUCAGAGAUGGGAAAGUAGAAAGAUGCAAGACAGUUCCAGUGUUAACAAGGACGGAGAUGCAAUGCUGUGUCCAGGAUGCUGAUGAACUUAAGAUGUGUUAGAUGGAAAAUUUGACUUGCCAGGCAUAAUUCCAGGGACAAUUCUUGGCCAAGGAUGAGAACUCUAACCUGACUGGAUACACUACCCUGAUGGGUUAAAGGAUUUACCUGAGGCCAACAGAACAGGCAGGAAUUCAGUGCAUUCAUCCUUUUUAAAUUAGAUGAAGGUCGUGAGGAACAUAGUGAGAGGGCUUAGCAGUGCCAAGCCUGGUUACCUUUGAUUCUGGGACCUGGUGGGGAGAACCAACUCUCUAGAGUUAUUCUUGGACCUUCAUGUGUGUGCUAGCACACCUGUGUGCACACACUAAAAAAUAAAUAUAAUAAAUGAAGAGAGUUAAUACUUAGAGAAAGAUAUGGCUUUGCAUUUAAAAUUGUGUUAAAAUAUUCCUGAGCAGACGUACCUACCCAGUGUACUGGGUAGUACUUUAAGGAUUCUGUUUAUGCAAAAAGAUAGUUAAUGUCAACAUAGUCUACACUUCAAUGUUUCUGUGUUUAUUAUAUAAUGGUUCCAGGCCUAAUGACCUGUGAUGUUUCUUCUGCAGCUCUGGACCUUGAGAUGAACUGGUCUAAUUUCCUGAAGAGAAGGUCUUUAUCAAGGAAAAGCCAGUGAAACUACCUGAUGGUGAGUAAACUAGAAGUUCCUGACAGUUUCCUCAGAUUUACCAUCACCUGCUUCCUGACCUGCUUUGAUCCCUCAGACUGUCCCCCUUAUGAACAAAAGGAUGGUCUGUUGCACAGCAGCCCUAUGGUUUGGUACCAGUGCUGCAGGUACUUAAAAUGGCUGCCCAAAAUUAAACUAAUGGUGAAUAGCCAUUAGGAAAUAGAAACCUACCUCCGAUAUUUCUUAGGAAUCUUGUGAUCUGGACACUCUUUUCCUCAUUCCUCCCUAAAUGGCCUACUACCAUGGGGAAAGUUCGACCUGCCACUUAUAGUUCCAGCCCUCACAGCCUAGGAGCAGGGCAGGUAGGCUGGUUGGAGCUAAUUGGGUUGCUGAGGGACUGCCCCAGAACCAGGCUAGUGGUCUUAUACUACACAGAUGUCUCCAUAUCUUCAUUAUUGAACCACAAGCGGGACCCUGAAAGCUCCCAAAAUAUGUGGUGCACCAACAUAAGGUACAAGAUCCAGAUUAAGUCCAGACACAAGAUCUCCCCAGACACACAGGUGUAGUGUAGACAUUGGGCUGAACACAAGAAACUGAGAAUUCAAGACCUCAGAAUUGGUCAUGUAUGCUCAGAACAGCCAGUCCUCAGGACAGAGUUCAGGGAAGCUUAAGUGCAGAUACAGUAAAUUUGGAAGCAUCGAGAGAAUUUAAGUAGAAGCAUUUGUAAAUGUACAUAGAUGCUGAAGAAAGGAAAGAAAUUGAGUAUAGAUAGUUAAUAUAAGGAAAAUGUUAAUAAUAGAAUAUAAUAAAGUAAAGCAUCUGAAGUAAAGAGUUAGCAAGAUUUAAAAAGGAGAAUAUUUUCCAUGUUAAAAAAUGGAAAAUACUAUAGCAGAAGGCAUCUGGACCCUGUAUAGUUCCAUUUUAGUUAUCAUGGGGCAUGUGGGUUACAAUAGGUUUAACAAUAGCAGUUUACUGUGCCCUCUAAUCAGGCCAAAGAAGAAAGGAAUAAAUCUUGUCCUCUCUCAAAUUCACAAGGAGCAGACUUAUAUAAGGAGAGGAGGAACACUAGUGUUAAAGCUGUAGAACCAAAGUAGAGAAUCUUUUAAGUCAGAAUAAAAGGUUUUCUCUAUUCAGGUCAGAAGAAUGCCCUGCAAUACCAACUUAUGACAAGAUUGCAGGAUGGCAGUUCAAGCCUAUUAGAAAGCCCACAGUGACUUUCUCAUUCAUUCUAAGACAGCUACCCACAGAUGAGAGAAACUCAUAAUGUUACAAUGAAUUUGGUUGGCAACACAGAGAUACUAGAUCUAAGGAGAUUUCAGGAGGCAAUGGUAGACUACUGAACACACCCUAUGUGAAACAAGUAUUAUAUAUAACUAAGACUAAGCAACUGACCCAAUCCUGAGAUGGCUCUAGGAAAGGGCAUUAGGCCCCAAGGGAGAGUUUCAUGUUCCUAGCUCCAGGACAAUUUAUCAGAAACAACUCUGAUAAAACACUUCUCAGAAAAACCAUACAAUUUACUGGCCUUCACCUUUGCCCUCUGGGGAAUGAAGGUACUCCGCUAGGAUGAUACAAUAUUGGUCCAGCCAAUCAGCCAAAAGGUUGAAAGAAAAUAAGAAAAAAUGUUUUAUCCCUAACAGACUAGCAGACAGAGUAGAGCCAAGAGUGCAGGUCAGCUGAUUCAUGAGCUCUGUGUUCCAGGAACUUGGCUGACCACAGAAUACAUGGUUGAGUAAGAUUGAGUUCUUGUGAAAAACCCUUACAGGAUGUUUCCCCCUUGACCAAUUCGUGAACCUGGUCAUACACUGAAUAAUGGGCUGGUACUUUCCACUAGAAUUUUCCAGUAACUCCCCCUCACUCCCCUGGUGUGUGGUUUUCUCCUUUAAAUACCCUACACUCCCCGUGUUGGGGGUCAAACUUCUCUGCCCCUGCAUGGGUUACAAGUCCCGACCCCAGCUUGUUGGUCCUGAAAUAAACCUCUUGCUGUUGCAUCAAGAUCGGUGUCUCAUGAGUCAUUAGGUGGCUGCGAUCUCCCACAACUUGAGUGAGGGUCUCCCAUCUCGGGGGUCUUUCAAGGUCACCCUAACUACCCAUCACCAAGUGCCUCGUUGUUACUGUAA